GAGACACCCCUCCGGGGCAAGACUUGCUUCAGUGGGGCUUUGGUAUUCACUGAGUCUGCCCCCUGAGUGUGUCCUU
rnacentral:pre_miRNA from 1 species